UAGGGAAUCUUCCACAAUGGACGCAAGUCUGAUGGAGCAACGCCGCGUGAGUGAAGAAGGUCUUCGGAUCGUAAAGCUCUGUUGUUGGUGAAGAAGGAUAGAGGCAGUAGCUGGUCUUUAUUUGACGGUAAUCAACCAGAAAGUCACGGCUAACUACGUGCCAGCAGCCGCGGUAAUACGUAGGUGGCAAGCGUUGUCCGGAUUUAUUGGGCGUAAAGCGAGCGCAGGCGGAAUGAUAAGUCUGAUGUGAAAGCCCACGGCUCAACCGUGGAACUGCAUCGGAAACUGUCAUUCUUGAGUGCAGAAGAGGAGAGUGGAACUCCAUGUGUAGCGGUGGAAUGCGUAGAUAUAUGGAAGAACACCAGUGGCGAAGGCGGCUCUCUGGUCUGCAACUGACGCUGAGGCUCGAAAGCAUGGGUAGCGAACAGGAUUAGAUACCCUGGUAGUCCAUGCCGUAAACGAUGAGCGCUAGGUGUUGGGGACUUUCCGGUCCUCAGUGCCGCAGCA
rnacentral:rRNA from 1 species